GAGGAGGUUCUUCCGUGCUCCUCCUGUCACGUAGCUGGGCUUGUCGCACGGGGAGCUCUUCGGAAAGUGCUUUUGGAAAGCGGUCCCUCCAUUGCCUUCACUCAUUAACUUGAACUAGAGAAGAGCAUUGAAGACAUUCCAAUUUCAAAGGACUAUGGAGGUCUUGUGAAGAAAGCUGACAGCUGAGAAAUGGCAUAGACUUUCAAGUCACCUCAGCACAGCAUGCCACUGUGGGAUGAAGGAAAGUUGCAAGGAACUCAGCCCUAGAAUGACUCGAUUCUGUAGACCUCAACAAUCCCUCCUCAUUCGUCACAGUGAAAUAUUAAAAUUGCUUGACACAAUAAUAAGGGGGAAAAAAUGGAGAGAGAAAAAUCUUCUUUAUUGUUAUUAUUCUUUUUCAGAAGGGAGGGAGCUACACAAGAGCUCCUGCUUUUGACAGCAAAAAGUUAAUUGUUCUAUCAACUUCCAUAUCUACAGAUUGCUUCAGAGUAACUGUUGAGCAAAUCCCUCCAUGCAGAUAUCACCAGUCUGAAAAAGGGCCAGCAGAACUAACAGAGAAUUUGAAUGGAAGCCAACUGACAUUUUAAACGUCUCUUUC